CGCCGCGAGUUCGUACGGCCCGGCGCGCAAGCAAGACCAAGGAGCGGUAGUUCAGUCGGUUAGAAUACCGGCCUGUCACGCCGGGGGUCGCGGGUUCGAGUCCCGUCCGCUCCGCCA
rnacentral:tRNA from 1 species